rnacentral:lncRNA from 1 species
CGGGAACCCUAGGGUCCGGUUACGGGGAACUCGUCAAAACUCGCAGUUUUCACCUAUUCAGGCCAGUUUCGUAUGCUAUUCGUCACGGAUUUUGGGUCCUGCUGCGAUCCGAACGUUUUUGGAACCUCGGGGUCCGGUUAUGGGGAACUCGUCAAAACUCGCAGUUUUGGCCUAUUUCGGCCAGUUUUGUAUGCUAUUAGUCACUGAUUUUGGGCCCGNUGUGAUCCGUAUGUUUCCGGUAACCUCGGGGUCCGKUUAUGGGGAACUCGCCAAAACUAGCAGUUUUGGCCUAUUCUGGCUCGUUCUAUAUGCUAUUGCUCAAUGAUUUUGGAUCCCGAUGUGAUCCGAACGUUUUCGAAACCCCGGGGUCCGG